rnacentral:rRNA from 1 species
AUUGAACGCUGGCGGCAUGCCUUACACAUGCAAGUCGAACGGUAACAGGUCUUCGGAUGCUGACGAGUGGCGAACGGGUGAGUAAUACAUCGGAACGUGCCCGAGAGUGGGGGAUAACGAAGCGAAAGCUUUGCUAAUACCGCAUACGAUCUCAGGAUGAAAGCAGGGGACCGCAAGGCCUUGCGCUCACGGAGCGGCCGAUGGCAGAUUAGGUAGUUGGUGGGAUAAAAGCUUACCAAGCCGACGAUCUGUAGCUGGUCUGAGAGGACGACCAGCAACACUGGGACUGAGACACGGCCCAGACUCCUACGGGAGGCAGCAGUGGGGAAUUUUGGACAAUGGGCGCAAGCCUGAUCCAGCCAUGCCGCGUGCAGGAUGAAGGCCUUCGGGUUGUAAACUGCUUUUGUACGGAACGAAAAGACUCUGGUUAAUACCUGGGGUCCGUGACGGUACCGUAAGAAUAAGCACCGGCUAACUACGUGCCAGCCGCCGCGGUAAAAC